rnacentral:rRNA from 1 species
AACGAACGCUGGCGGCAUGCCUAACACAUGCAAGUCGAACGAGACCUUCGGGUCUAGUGGCGCACGGGUGCGUAACGCGUGGGAACCUGCCCUUAGGUUCGGAAUAACUCCCCGAAAGGGGUGCUAAUACCGGAUAAUGUCUUCGGACCAAAGAUUUAUCGCCGUUGGAUGGGCCCGCGUUGGAUUAGCUAGUUGGUAGGGUAAAAGCCUACCAAGGCGACGAUCCAUAGCUGGUCUGAGAGGAUGAUCAGCCACACUGGGACUGAGACACGGCCCAGACUCCUACGGGAGGCAGCAGUGGGGAAUAUUGGACAAUGGGCUAAAGCCUGAUCCAGCAAUGCCGCGUGAGUGAUGAAGUCCUUAGGGUUGUAAAGCUCUUUUACCCGGGAUGAUAAUGACAGUACCGGGAGAAUAAGCACCGGCUAACUCCGUG